AAUCUGAGGUUAGUGAGCACAGAGCUCUUCUGCAUUUUUUUUCCUUUAACAAGAAAACAGAAACUGUCACUAAGUGACAGUUGGCUUAAGGCAAAACAGAAGAUAGGUAAGCAUUUCCCAGGUCAGAGGUCAGAGAUCCACUCAGAACGAGCUUCUGUAACUCUUCCUUUUUAUCUUUGGAGGAACUAGGGUUGAGGAGCAAAGCUGAGUCCCUUGACAUACACACCAAGGAACAGGACAGGCUCCUGGGUGACAGAACCAGGUCUGCAACUAGGGGAAGGCACCUGGGAGGAAGAAAGGACCUGGAAGAUUUGCCAUCCUGUUAUCCCCAUGGUGACCCCUGGGCUCCAGACAGGGUCUUGCUAUGUAGUGCAGCUGUGUACAUCAGACCUGCCUCUUGUCUUCCAUGUGCUGGGAUCAAAGGACAUCUAUGCUAUUUCUGGGAAAUCUCUGGUCUUACGAGGUCUGCUUCUUCGACAUAAACGUCUCCAACAUAAAAAGCCACAGUUCCCUGAGGUCCUUGGCAGCCAAAGACGCAGACAUGUGAGGCCUUGUUUCAGGAGGCACCUUCGGAAGGAAGUCCUCUCUGUUGAAGACAUCUGUGCUGCAAACAUGGAAGAAACAGAGAAGACAAGAUGGAAUCCUCAGACUGAGUCCUUAUCUGGGAAUCAGCUCUGAGGCUAGCAGGCAGCAAGGAUGCGGCUAAGUCACCUAGCUGCUAGGCAACAGAGCAGAGGUUCCUCCUCAGGCCAGCAUUAUGGUUUUCAGUGUUGUCCAGUGUGACCUGAAGUCAGUCCUUACAGUAACUGUGUGAGACUUCCUGCAUUCUGCUUGGUCUCUUAUGGUUUAUUGAGCCAUGAUUGCCAGCUAUGAGUAUCCGUCUAACAAUUUGAAUAAACUGCUUAAAUGAGGGUCAGUUCUAUGGAGAGAAUUACAGCCACAGAGUAAAAUGGCAUUUUUCUUUGA